rnacentral:rRNA from 1 species
CAGUAGCCGCGGUAAUACGAAGGGUGCAAGCGUUAAUCGGAAUUACUGGGCGUAAAGCGUGCGUAGGCGGUUUGUUAAGUCUGUUGUGAAAUCCCCGGGCUCAACCUGGGAACUGCAUUCAAAACUGACUGACUAGAGUAUGGUAGAGGGUGGUGGAAUUUCCUGUGUAGCGGUGAAAUGCGUAGAUACAGGAAGGAACACCAGUGGCGAAGGCGACCACCUGGACUAAUACUGACACUGAGGUGCGAAAGCGUGGGGAGCAAACAGGAUUAGAUACCCGGGUAGUCCCUGUCUCUUAUAC